AUUCAGCCACCUCCCUCCCACAUGUAAACUGUCUGUAUAAAUUAUGUGUGAAUCUAUGUUAUAGAGCAGGCCCAGAAUGCACGAAGGGCUGCGAUGGUCAUCAGACAAGGCGAACAGGGAAGGUCAGAAGAUCUCCCCGUGCAGAGCUGGCACUAUCCAAGCACCAGAGCUGCUGUGUGCCAAGAUGGGCCACUGGAGAGAUCAGAGAUCUCCCUCACCGGCCCACUGUCACUGAGUGAGCUGGUAGAGGAAGCAGGGGGAAAGGAUCUGGAGGCUCUAGCCUGCAGCUCUGCCGGGUUCUUCCUCCUGCAAGGUCAGAGCGUUGCUCUGUUGAUGGAC